AACAAGCACUACCCCCUACAGUUCAACAACACCCACCGGAGUGUUAGGAGGAGUCGGCACCGGCUUAGGCCCAUCCGGAACCACCUCCACCAACACUGAUUACAGCCACGGAGGAUUCCGGCUCCAACCCAUUUCUUCCUUCACAACCCUCCUGUUUUCAGGCUUCAUGCUGAUUUGGGGUUGAAUACUACAAACCAACAAUGAGCCUAUAUGUAAUAUUCAGAUGUUUUAUCUAAGGACAUGUUAAAGCUAAG
rnacentral:lncRNA from 1 species